ensembl:lncRNA
UGAGUAUUAGUUUCUGUUUGAGGAUGUCCUUGAUUUAACCCAGGUGUCUUUGGUUUAGUUUAAUUAUGUUGGGUAUUUAAACCCCUCGGGUGCACGCGCACUUCACUGGAGUAUUAUUAUUUGUAACAUAGAUGCCCGUGUGAGAGUUUUCAGUGUUAACGGUGUAGGAUAUAGGUUUAGCAUGCUAAGCGGUCUUUGUUGUCAUGUCCGGUUUCCUGCCUCGAUUCUAGUCUCAUGUUUACUCACUAGUUCCGUAUAGACCGCGCUGCCUGUGGUUUGUUUGUUUGUUUGGGUUAUUAAUAAAGACAGCGCUCCUGUGCUUACUUCCAACUCAUUAUCCUGUGUCGGGUGCAACAACAAAACAAACGAUUGUUUAGAUUUCUGCAUCACACCCCGCCAAUCCCGAUCCCAAUACUUUCUUUUGGCACAAACUUUUACAAUUGCCGUAAAUCAUAAAUUUGCAAAUUUCCAGUUUGUGCACUUUAAUUAUUAUUAUUAAAAUCACUACAUUUAUGGCAUUUGGCAGACACCUUCAUCCAGAGCGACUUACAUUUAUUUCAUUUAUACAUCUGAGCAAUUAGGGGUUAGGGCCUUGCUCAGGGGCCCCAACAGUGGUGCCUUGGUGGUUAUGGGGUUGAGCUCAUGACCUUCUGAUCAACAGCCCAAUGUCUUAACCACAGAGCCACCACUGUUAACAAGCACUGAUCAAACACUGAUCAAGCACUGUGCAGUAAAAUACGUUUAUACCCUAGAGGUGUGAUUAAACAAGUCAAGCCAAUCCAUUUCCUUCUUUCAACUGUAAAGAAAAAAGCUCUUCAAAUGACAGAAUGUUAUUUUUCUUGCUGUCUUGCUUGGUAGAGUUCAUCAGGUACCAAACUGUGGUCUCGGAGCUGGUUGAGGAAGGUGAGCGGUUCAUCUAUGCAAGAAAUCUGCGCCUUGUUCAAGUGGAAAAACUUAAUCAGCUCCUCCGGCGGUGUGAAAUCCAACUGAAUAGAUAUUCGGUAAAACACUUCUCCGGUAUCCUGAACAGGGCAAUGAUUGUUGUCGAAAAAACCUGAAAGAGUUGUGCAACCUGAAAGAGUCUCUGUAAUAUGAACCUAAGCUAAUAAAGAUGAAAAGUAAGAACAGAAGGUAGAAAGGUGGGUAUGAGAUUUUGGACUGGGUGGAGAAGCCGGGAGGUGGUGUAUAAAGCAGUUUUGGAGGUGUGUGUCUCAGGAUCACAUCCUUCAGAAAUAUCCUUUUCUGCGCUCACUCCAGACCAGCUUAGGAGAGAUGUGUAUUUUGUCCGGCGGCGUCUGGUUCACCCCAGGUGACUUUGAGAGAUUUUCAGAAAGGGAAAAAAGCAAGAACUGGAAACUCACCAUCCGCUGCGAAAACAUUACACUGCAUGAACUUAUACAGUUGGUUCCACCAAGUAUACCGGGAUCCUGCAGAACAAAAUAAGUCAUGUGAGCACAAGAUUUUACGUGACGUGUGCUACAUUUGUGACUCGGCGGGAAAUCUGGUGUGCUGUGACGAGUGUCCACAAGCUUUUCACCAUCACUGCCACUUACCAACUCUACAGGAGGACACACUUGGGAUAAUAAGUUCGGCAAGAUGGGAGCCAUAAUGAAAAAGAUCUUUCAGGAGGAGUUUGACACCAUCUUUAAAAUCCAGUAGUAUUUUUCCUCUUUCACAAACCUGCAUUUCAUUGGAAGAUUUAUAAUCAAAAGACAAAUACUGAUGUUAUUAUUUAUUUAUUUAUUAUUUGCAUAUAACAUUGUUAGCAUCUGAUUAUUUAAUUGAACUUAUCUUCUAUAAUCCUACUUGUUUAUUAUUGUUAGGUUACAGGUCUAUUAGUGAUUUGUCUAAUUUGUGCAACUUGGAUACUAAAAAAGUAUAUCUGAUUAUAAUAUAUAUAUUUUAACAUACAGCUUUCUAAUGUUGUAUGCAUUUAUUAUUUCACGAAUUACUGGUUUUAUAAUCAUUUCAUUUAAUCUUAAUAUGUUAGAUUUCUUAUUGUUUUAUCUCAGCAUUUAUAUAGUUUCACUUCCUUAUAUUGCAUUUACAAUUUUUUUUGUACAGUGCAUCUGGAAAGUAUUCACAGCGCUUCACUUUUCCCACAUUUUAUGUUACAGCCU